GACGUAGGGCGCGAGCGUUGUCCGGAUUUAUUGGGCGUAAAGAGCGUGUAGGCGGUUUGGUAGGUCCGUUGUGAAAACUCGAGGCUCAACCUCGAGACGCCGGCGGAAACCAUCAGGCUAGAGUCCGGAAGAGGAGAGUGGAAUUCCUGGUGUAGCGGUGAAAUGCGCAGAUAUCAGGAAGAACACCCGUGGCUAAGGCGGCUCUCUAGUACGGUACUGACGCUGAGACGCGAAAGCGUGGGGAGCGAACAGG
rnacentral:rRNA from 1 species